rnacentral:rRNA from 1 species
AUGAUCGAGGCGGAGCUCAACCAUCUAUACCGCCGGCAGUGGGAGUGGGCGGUCACCCCUAUCUCCGGCACCGAGUUCUCUGUGGUCUUCCCCGACGCUCUCAGCCACGGAUACGCCACACACAGUGACCAGAUCACUCUCUCCCUCAACAAGCUGGUCGUCGACAUCUCCGAACCGAUCCUCGACCCGAAGGCUGUGGCCGUCCUUGACACGGCAUGGAUCCUCAUCUCCGGGCUCCCGGACAUUGCGAGGUCUGAGCGUACCAUCCGUCGCAUGUCCCGGAUCCUGGGGAAGGUGGUGGUGGUCGAUGAGCUCUCCCUCCGCAAGGAGGAGGAGGUUCGAGUCAAGGUCAAAUGCCUCGAUUCAACCAAGCUUCGUGCCACGGUCCGGGUUUUCUUCAAUGAUCAAGGGUUCGACGUUCGCAUCGCCUCCGAGCCGCCCAACCAUGUUGGGUGUCUCCGCGCCUCCGAUGACGGUCCUCCUGGUGGCCACCCAGGCCCGCAAGAUGACUACAAUGGUCGCCACCACCCCCACCCCGACCACUCUGAUGAUGAUGACGGAUCGGAGGACAGCCCCUCCCGCUCCUCCUCGCCUCGGCCCCCACCCUCUUCCUCGACCCUGGGUGGGUGGCAGACCGGGAGGUCCCUCGCCGCGCUGCCGGAGGGGUUGCUUCCGGUGCCUCUGUCGCCCCUCGCCGAGGACACUGAGCCUAGCGACACUUCCAGUGUGCGUCUCGUGGUCAUCCCCGCCUCCUCCCCGCGCUCGCCGGUCGCUCAGCCGGUGUCCUCCUCUGCCCUGCUGCCGACGUCACAAUCUGGGGACCCUGCCGCCUCCCUUUGCGCCUCUGGGUCAGUCUUGCCACUCGCGCCCAUCGACACUCAGACCGUUUCUCCGCAUCCUGUGACGCCCCCGGCCCUGCCGCCCGUGGUCUUGCCUUCGUCGCUGCCCGAGGAUGGCCAGCGCCGCCAGCUCAUCGAGUACAUGCGCGAUGAGCGAAUCGACAUUGUUGCAAUUCAAGAGACCAUGCGAACUGAGUUCACCUUGUCUGAGCUUGGCCGCCUUAGUCCCCACCUAUUCGCCUGGCACUGGCUCCCUUCUAGUGGGAUUGCCGGUCACUCUGGUGGCAUCCUCUUAGGUGUCAAGGAUGCCACCUUUGAGGUGGGUAGCAUGGACCGGGGGGAGUUCUUUGUCAGCAUGGAGAUUUUCGAGAGGGCGCUGAACUUCAAAUGGGAGAUCAUCAUAGUCUAUGGCCCUGCCGAGCACCGCCGGUCGGCGACAUUUCUUGAUGAGCUUAGGAAUAAGCGCCCGGCCGAACUCCGCGCUCAUGUGGACGGCUUCUAUAAAGACCUUUUUACGCCCCCCCCCCCCCCGCAUGGGGGCUUGGCUCUUGCUCCUACCUUCUGGGUGGGCGACCAAUGUGUGUCGGACGCGGAGAAUGAGGCCCUCACGGCUCCAUUCUCGGAGGAGGAAGUUUGGCUUGCGAUUAAAGGCAUGAACUCGGCGUUCGCCCCGGGGCCUGAUGGCUUUCCAGUUAACUUCUUUCAGACCUUCUGGCACACUAUCAAGCCGGAGAUCAUGGCCCUCUUUGAGGAUGACUCGCGCCUUACUGUGGCCGACCUCCGUCCCUCGGUCCACAAGCUGCAACACCGUAUUGAGCCUUGGCAGGGCUGGUGGCUAUCUAAGGCUGCCCGCACGGUACUCAUCAACGCGUCCCUCUCCAGUCUUCUCCUAUUCAUCAUGAGCUUCUACAGCCUCCCCAAAACACUCCACCACGAGAUUGGCUCGAUCCAAGCUAAGUUCUUCUGGGCUGGCGAGGACGGGAAGCAGAAAUACCACAUGGUCAGCUGGCCGGACAUCUGCAAGCCCUCGGACCAGGGCGGUCUCGGCAUCAUGUCCUCCAAACGCAUGAACCUGGCCCUCCUCACUCGCUGGCUAUGGAGCAUUACAAACGGCGAUGGUGGCUUGUGGCUGCAAAUCAUCCGUCACAAGUACCUGCGCGACCAGCCCCUAGCUUUCUGCGUCAGGUCGGGUGGCUCUCAGUUUUGGCAGUCUGUUGUUCAGCUCCUCCCGGUUUUGCGCAUUGGGACUUCCAUCGUGGUUGGCACCGGUUCGGCCACACUUUUCUGGUUUGACCGAUGGGCAGGUGAUCGCCCCUUCGCAGCCCGGUUCCCUGACCUUUUUUCCAUAGCGGUCGAACCCAGGAUCUCCGUCGAGUCGGCCCUUAUUGACUUUGGGCGUCUCGCGUUCCGGCGGCCAUUUGGGCCGCCGGAGGUUGCCGCUUGGCAUGAGCUCCUUGACACGGUGGCCCUCCAUGAGCCGGACUUAUCGCAGCACCUCGACGACCGCCUAUCUUGGCUAAUAGCCGAAGAGGGACAGGUGAAUGGAACUGAAACUAAAACUGCAGCAAUUGUUGAUUGGAAUGUAGUUGAAUUAGAUGAGCCUACUGAUUUGGUCAUUGCACCAAUGCCUAAUAUUGAGAUGGCCAAACUUUUUGGCAUUCCAGUCGAUGACAGAGAUAAUCAGGAGAGGGGCGAAUCUAGUUUGCCUGCUAAUGCUGAUGAAGAAGUAGAUGGACAGUUGAUGGAACAAGCUGUAGAUGAAGUAGAUGAUGCACAUGAUGAUGAGCUGGUGCAUGUGUAUGACAAAGAGAACCCUGUCAUUGAAGUAGGCAAGUUGUUCCAAAGCAUGAAGGAGUUUAUGAUGUGUUUCAAGACUUAUGCAGUGAAACAUGAGUUUGAUGCCAAGACUGUUUGGACUGAUAGAAAGAAGUUCUAUGCAAGGUGCAGAGGAUUUGAUGGUAGUGUGAAGCCUUGCAAGUGAGCCAAUGGCGGUAGAAAGAAGAGAAGUGUGCUUGAGCCUGAGCAGACUGAAGAAAAUCCUGCUGCAGUCAACAUUCAGACUGAAGAAACUGAUGUGGAGGUGCACACCGAAGAAACUGAAAUUGCAGUCAACAUUGAGACUGAAGAAACUGCUCUCGAGGUUGAAACUGAACCUGAGCGUGUUGAGGUUCAGACUGAAGAAACCCAUGUUGAGGUUCAGACUGAAGAAACCCAUGUCGAGGUACACAUCGAAGAAACUGAAACUUCUGUCAACAUUGAGACUGAAGACACUGAUCACGAGGGUGUUGGCGAGGUGUUGAAAAGACCAGUGAAGAAAACCAAGAUGAUCAGUGAACUUGUGUGUGUAGUAGAACCAAAAACAAGAAGUGCUAAGGCAAAGAAGGGCACACGACAUGGUAGGAAGAGGUAG